rnacentral:rRNA from 1 species
AUACGGAGGAUCCGAGCGUUAUCCGGAUUUAUUGGGUUUAAAGGGUGCGCAGGCGGCCAUUUAAGUCAGCGGUUAAAUCGUGGGGCUCAACCCCAUUCUGCCGUUGAUACUGGGUGGCUUGAUUGCGGUCGAGGUUGGCGGAAUUCGUUGUGUAGCGGUGAAAUGCAUAGAUAUGACGAAGAACACCGAUUGCGUAGGCAGCUGACCAGACCGCAAAUGACGCUCAUGCGCGAAAGUGCGGGGAUCGAACAGGAUUAGAUACCCUGGUAGUCCACGCCGUAAACGAUGAGCACUAAGUGUCGGAUGAAUUUUCGGCGCUGCAGUUAACACAAUAAGUGCUCCGCCUGGGGAGUACGGUCGCAAGACUGAAACUUAAAGGAAUUGACGGGG